CAGGGCAGGAAGCCAGUAAGACAGGCAGGACUCAAAAUGCAGACACAGGCAGAGGCUGAGUGACUUUGCCAAAGAAUACAUUUAUUAGCAAUCACAAAACAGAUAACUGAAACGUGGCAAUACGUGAGUUCAGUAAAAGGUACUGUGGUACAGUUCAGGCAGGGUGUCUGGAUACGUGGUGCUGGGUUCUGAAACAGAGGAGACAGGUGUUAGGUGGGUCUUAGUAGGGAGGACGAGAGAACAGGAGGCAAUGAGUCUCUGCCUUACUUGUAAGUAGGUCAAAGGUAACGUGGCGGAAAAACUGCCAAUGGGUUCCAAGUGAGCGUCCGUAUGGCUAGGAUCCAGAGUUCCAGGAGGUUCGGAGUACAGAGGGGACGGCAGGUGGAGCAGGUAACCAGUAUGGCGAAUGACCAGCUGAGAACAGAUUUCCACCUGUACCCUGCACUGUCCUGGCACUUCGACGCUGCGUGUCCUGUACAGUCCCAGCUUCAGCCUGUAUUUUCGCUUGCGUCUACUGAUGCUGUGUCUGUGGAUCCCACCUCAACACUAAUCUACUAAAUGGAUACAGCUGAUCCCCCCCACUACAUGCCCGCCGCAGCAAACCUCCACCCGCCCAACUCCUGCUAAACAGGUGACAACAGAUUUAAGAGCGACAGGACUCAAUGCUGCUGAAUCUUUGAUUUUAUUUAUUUUUUGCUGUGUUUUACUUGUAAAACAUGAUUUUAUUUUAUAUGCUGGAAAAUGCAGACAAUAGGUUUAAAUAUUGGGCAGUAUGGUGGAACGAAUAAAACAAGUUUUAAAAAGAGACUUUUUCAUUUGAUUACAUUUUAAAUGAUGAUUAUGCAGAAAAAACAGAAUUGGGCUGAAAGGUCUAUUCAGGUUGUGUAUCAUGUUUUUUAAAAGUAACUAAGUAACUAAUUACUUUUGAAAAUAAGUAAUCGGUAAAGUAGCAUGAUUACUUUUUUGGAGACGUAAUCAGUAAUUACUUACUAAUUACUGUUUUCAAGUAACUUGACCAACACUGCUCCUGACAAAUCAAAAGAAAAAAACAUUGAAUGUCACAUUGUAUCUAUGAGGUUUAAUUUGUAUCAUUUUCGCUACAUCCAGCAUGUUCUUUGCAAUUUAUGGGUUCAGUAUGAAUUUGUGCAAUGUUUGUGAAAGCUGGUGUGAAGCAUGCCUCCAGUAACAGUGAUUUCCUGUGAGUCUGCAGCACAACAGGAUGAAUCCUUGUUACUGACAGCAGGACGUCACCAUACAGUACAGUCUAAUGAAGUCCAAGCAGCUUCUUCAUGGGGACACUGCCCUGCACAAAAACACAUGGAGAGGUGAGGAAAGCUUUUUUUUUUACUUAGAGAGAGACACAAAGAGUUGAGAGACCAAAUAUGACACACAGGAGGAAAAAGCAGAAUGAGAUGAUGAAGUUUCAUCAUCAAUGUCCGAUGUGUGACUGAUAAACACUCCUGCACGUCCUGUCUGAAAGGUAAUCUCAAGUCCAAAGGUUUUCAGAUAAGCACAAUUAGACUGAUACACACAUCAAAGGAAAGGAACAGAUUACAUGACUGAUACAAUUCAACUUUAUUUAUAUAGCACAUUUAAAACCAAAGGUACACCAAAGUACUGAUGAAGAAAGAUAAAUCAGGCUUUAAUGUAAAAUCUUAGUUUAGUUUUUAGUUAGUUCCCUUUUUCCUGACCAAUCACAUGUGUGCUCAGCUUGCCUAGGUCUGAAUCUUUCUCAAUGAUAUCUGGCUUGGUUAAUCCAUACAAACAUCACUCAUCAGCAGCAGUCGUCACUGCCUUUGAGUAGCUAUGCUAUGCUGGCAUCGUCCCUGUCAUUGUAUUAGGGUUAGCUAAAAUCUGCCACCUGCAGCUUCAUAUUCCUUAAGAACAGUGUCAUUGUAUCAGUCCUGUCCUUUACCUUGCAGGGAGGAGUGAAUCAGUGUAGAUGAUGAAAGUGCAGGAAUCAGUAAUCCAGUAAACAUUAGCUCAUUAGUAACCUCUUUAUUCUGCUGCAAUCACAGAAACACAGAGGCACCAGUUUUUACAAGUUGCUGCGCUAUUUUCAUUUACACCCGACUGUAUUGACCUGAGGACCAUGCUUCAACAUCUAUCACUGCAGAAUCGCAGUCUGUGCAUGUUCACGCAAAGGGAUGAAAAAAAGGGAGAAGGAGAGUUGGAGAAACUCAAUCCUUCUGUCACCUUUCAGAGUCAGUAACCUCUUUGUGUGUGUGUGUGUUAUUCUGCCAAGAAAAGGAAACUUAAAUCAGCAAUUAAAGUAAAUAAUUAACCAGCUUUACUAUGUAUUAUUAAUGAGACGGCCUAAUUGCCUCCUGCUUUAAAUGGACAGAUAAUGCCUGAAGACAGAUAUAGAUAGAUGGAAGGCACGGGAGCAAAGGUAAAGACAAGCCGAUGAAGAAAUGAGCAGCAGAGGUGGAUGUGAUGAUAAGUGGCAGUAAAAGGAUGAAUAAAUAAAAAAGAAAUAAACCAGAAAAUAAGGUAGAAGUAGAAGAUGUGAGGGAUGAAAAAAGACAAGAAUGUUAAAUGGCCUGUAUUUAUAUAGAGCUGUACUUAGUCCCUAAGGACCCCAAAGUGCUUUACACUACAUUCAGUCAUCCACCCAUUCACACACUGGUGAUGGCGGCUACGUUGUAGCCACAGCCACCCUGGGGCGCACUGACAGAGGCGAGGCUGCCGGACACUGGCGCCACCGGGCCCUCUGACCACCACCAGUAGGCAACGGGUGAAGUGUCUUGCCCAAGGACACAACGACCGAGACUGUUGGAGCCGGGGCUCAAACCGGCAACCUUCUGAUUACAAGGCGAACUGCCAACUCUUGAGCCACGAUCGCCCCAAGACAAAGAGACAUGAGGAGACGAAAACUAACAGCAGGGAAAGACAGAAAGAGUCGGCUAGAAUGAAGAGAAAGGGAUGUGAAAAGUCAUCUUGUGUGCUGACCAUCGCCUGGAUAGUCAUUCAUUUUUGCUUAAAAUAGUGUCGAACAUGAAAUAAUGACUGAUAGUCACAUGUUGGACUGCUUACAUCAAGGUGUCUGUUUAAAUGUUUGGACUAAAAAAUAUCUGAAUUCUUUUCCCCAAAAGAAUCAAUGAAAACAAAGUGAAAUGUAUCAGUGUACUUUUCCUCCUCUUCAGCACUCAGUAUGUCUGUAUCCAAUGUUUCAGACAGGGCUCUGUUAACUGCACCAGUGUGUAUGAGCUAGCAGCAAGCCUUUUAGCAGUAUCUACAUGUUAUUGGAUUAAGAUCAUGUUAACUACAUUAACACCUAACAGAACAUCUCCACACAGCAAAACACACCACCCUUUUAGCUUCUCACAUUAUGUGUGUGUGUGUGUGUGUGUGUGUGUGUGUGUGUGUGUGUGUGUGUGUGUCUGAUAAACACUUUAAAGUUCAAACACCAGCAGCUCAAACCUGACAAAAUCACACACCAAUCCCUCCUCUCUUCAGAAAAACAUAUCAUGUAACUGUGACCCGAGCCAUGAGUGUAAUGUAUGUCAGGAGAAACUCUGGAUUUAAUCCAUCUUGUGAAAAACACUUUUUUCCCCAAAAUUUUGGUGUUGUUUCAUAAUGUGUCGUUGUCAGUGCUAAAAGAAAAUCAUUCAAACUUAAUAAUGAGAAAGGAGAUUAUUGUCUUACUCACCUUGACUCUGCCGGGUGCUUUUCAUGCUGGUAUCAGAGAGGAAUGAGUAUGGGCAUCUCUUCAGAUCUUGAUAAGUCGGCAGAUGUAACCUAUGCACUUUAGACACAGCUGUGGAAACUGAAGACAAGCAUGUUAAUCUUUAUGACCGAGGACUGAGCAGAGACAUUAAGAGAGAUAUGACGAGGUGUCGUAAAAUCUGAGCGAUACAGAGUAAAAGUCUAAACUCACAUGCACAAGUUUUGAGUACACAACUUUGUGAUCAUGUUAAAGCUAAAGAUGAUUUUCAACAUUAUUAAUUUUAACUACAAAAUUUAAUUUAAUUCUUAUUUCUGUUAAAACAAACUUCCCCAUCUUACAGGACAUCAUAAGUAUGCGGCACAUUUCAGGGUGCUUAAGUACUGCGUAAGCAAUUUGCUGCAGAAAAUAUGCAUAAGAAGGAUAGUGAAUAUAAUGGAUAAAGUAUGCUGAAACUGGAGCUUCUAUGGAGAAGGAAAAGAGAAAGACCACAGAGGAAGUUCAGGGACAUUUUUGGGAAGUAAGGAAUUUGCUCAUCAAUAAAACUUGUUUUAUUAGUCUUUUUGUAGUCAACUGUAUUCCAUAAAAAUAAUACAAAAAUCAACAGUUGCGUGUUUUAACAGAUUUUGUAUUUAUAGGAAUAUUGUGUUAAAACAUCAC
rnacentral:lncRNA from 1 species